CGCCAUUUGUGUAACCCUCAGUAAGCCACGUUCUCACUCUUCCUGCCACUCACUCCCCCACUGCCAACCAUUCCCAAUUUACACACACACACACAACACCAAAACUCACAUCACACACACACAGAGCCAUCUUUACCCAUGAGAGAAAGAGAGAAUGGAGAGUGCAGAGAAAGGAGAGGAAGACCGACGCAGUCGCCACCUCUGUCGCGCGUCACCGCCGGUCAUUGCUGCUGAGCCGUCGUUGAAAACGGAACCGCGGAGAGAGAGAGCCGUCCAGCCGCCUCGCCAGUGCCGUCAUUUCUGCGCUGUCACUGUUGAAGGAGGAAGUCGUUUGUGCCUAUCGCAGUCCCACGGAGUCUGCACUGCCAUCGCGAGUGACAGAGGGAGGCUUUGCUGCCUGUGCCGUCGCCUUGCCUUCAUCACCGCUGGGGUUUCGUUGCCGCUGCCAUUGGUUCACUGUGGCGGAGAGUGGAUCUGAGGAGAGAGAAAUUGAGGAAGAGAAGAACACGAAGAGGAGGAACUGGGAUCGUCGCUGUCACCACCGCUGCUGAGGACCAGCCACCGCGCCGAGUUUUUACUGUCGCCGUUGUGCCCAGCGUCGCCAGCACUGAAGUCAGCUGCUACCACCGUCGAGCCUUGUUGGAACUGGUGUUGCUUUUGGAGGUUUGGAGGGGAGGCUUGCUCAGAUCUGCCUCUGCUCUUGGUUCUCGCAGCUGCUGGAGCCUCUGUCGCCAUCAGAGCUACCAUUGAAGCUGUUGAUUCGGUUCCAAUUCUUCCAUUUUUGAGACCGUGUGCUUUAAUUCUUGCUCUGCUUCUAUUCUAUUCCUAUGUCUUUCACGUGUUCUAACUAAGAAAACCUAUGUUUCUGUUCAGUAUUGCUACUCUAUUUUCCCUGUUUACCGCUAGAAUUAUCAUAGAGGAUAGUGUUAAUGCCAUCAGGAAACUGUUAGAGUUGCUGUUGUUGCUGAUGCAAGUUAGAAUGAAGUUGGAGUCACGCUUGAUUUUAUAGAUUUUGACUAACUGAGAUGCAGGUUGAGAGGCAACUCGUUAAGUGUCUGGAUUCUUGGAGCGAAGUGGUUACUGGGUUAUUUUGUUGUACAGUGAUGUAUAUAUAUAUGCACUUAGUUUUCUCUCCGCAUAACUCAUUCUCUUUGAUCCUCUAGAGGUUUAUGGAGAGGCAGGACUUUGUUUAUGUACUUUUAGAUUUUGGAUAUGUAUAUGUGUGUGUGUGUGUGUGUGUGUGUGUGUGUGUAAGUAUUCUCCGACCAGCCCUGACUUCACGAGCUGAGUUAGGAGCUUGUUAUUUUGUAUCUUUGGCCCUCUAUUCCUACUUUUAUUAUCUUAAGUUUGAUAGUUAUAGUUUUCUUCACACCUAAGUUAUUCCGUUUCCGGAGCGG